GCUUGGUGCCCAAAGGAGACCAGAAUAUGACCAGACGGAAGCCAGCCCUGCAAGUCAACGGGCCUCAAAUGGCCGCCUGGGGGCCCAGUCAGCUUUGGUUUGGAGGCACAGCCUUUAAAAACGUUGUCCCAGCUUAACAAAGGCCCCUCCCUGCAGUGCUCGUCCUGAAGAGCAGCCAGGGAUAUCCUAAAAAUAAACAGCUCCUGUUGAUUCAGUGUGGCCGUUAACCUCCGAUUUAUUGGGAGAGACUUCGUUCUGGACAAGUUUGUGUUCUUGUUUUCAUGCGGCACACAAAGGAUGAUGAUAAUAGAAUUUCCUCUACAGUGAAGUAGUUUUCAUCUGGACUCUCCGUGGACCUCAGUUUACGGUCCCCGAAUUUGUGAAUUUCUUAGGAUUAGACAGCAUGUGUUAAAUGGACACCAUGCAGCAUUUUUUCUCCAGUUCGAAUAAUGUAGUUACCUUCAAAAUGUUACAGUGUUGAAGUGCCGUCAGACCUUCGUUGAACAUUCUGGGAUGUCAGUUACUGUUCUCAAG
rnacentral:lncRNA from 1 species